GUGCACCAGGCGAGAAACCUCCGCAAUGCGGGAAGCCGCGACGGGGGGACCCCGAGUGCCGUGGCAACGCCACGGCUUUUCCGGAGUGUAAAAAAGCUCCGGGAAUAAGGGCUGGGCAAGGCCGGUGGCAGCCGCCGCGGUAAUACCGGCGGCCCGAGUGGUGGCCGCUAUUAUUGGGCCUAAAGCGUCCGUAGCCGGGCCCGUAAGUCCCUGGCGAAAUCCCACGGCUCAACCGUGGGGCUUGCUGGGGAUACUGCGGGUCUUGGGACCGGGAGAGGCGGGGGGUACCCCUGGGGUAGGGGUGAAAUCCUAUAAUCCCAGGGGGACCGCCAGUGGCGAAGGCGCCCCGCUGGAACGGGUCCGACGGUGAGGGACGAAGGCCAGGGGAGCAAAACCGGAUUAGAUACCCGGGUAGU
rnacentral:rRNA from 1 species